AUUAGUAGCAGGUGUGGGUGCCUCAUAAACACACCCUCAUCCUUCAUGCUUCUCCCUUUAAAUACAGGCAUCAAAGCAGACAACAGACACAAACGUUUUUGCCUUCUUUAUCAGAAAAAGAAUUUCUACAACGCUUGUUAAAAAGACAAAAUGAGUGACCCUGCAGCUGAAAAGAAGGAAGAGAAAUGUCCUCAUGAGAAGGAAGGAUCAGGAUCAGGAUCAGAGGGAGAAGGAUCAGGAGGAGAAGGAAAAGGAAAGGGGAAAGGGGAAAAGCAUGGAAAAGGAGGUGAACAUGGACAUGGAGGUGGAAGAGGAGGCGGACAAGGAAGAGGAGGCGGACAAGGAAGAGGAGGCGGACAAGGAAGAGGAGGC